GAAAGAAGAAUAAAAUAAGGGUUGUAUUCAAUUAUUAUUCUAGAGCAUUUAAAAAGAUUUUGUUUAAGUGCCACCUUUCAUAGAACUUGAUGGAAAUUUAGAAUUUGUAUAGAACUUGAUAGACUUUCAGAAGACUUCUAUAUAAUUUUUUAAUAAACUUUCUUAAUAUUUGUAUGGCUUUUAUUCUAGACUUCAAAUUCAG
rnacentral:lncRNA from 1 species